UCAACAUUUCAGUCCUGCACAGAGGACUUUCAUCAGGAUCAAAUACAAAACUUAUUUUGUAUUGGAUCCUGAUGAAAGUCCUCUGUGCAGGACUGAAACG